rnacentral:rRNA from 1 species
GAGUUUGAUCCUGGCUCAGAACGAACGCUGGCGGCGUGCCUAACACAUGCAAGUCGAGCGAGAAAGUAGCAAUACGAGUACAGCGGCGGACGGGUGAGUAACACGUAGGUAAUCUACCUUUUAGUGGGGAAUAACGUACCGAAAGGAACGCUAAUACCGCAUGUGGAUCCCGGUUGAUUUCCGGUAUCUAAAGGGGGCUCUCGCAAGAGGCUUUCGCUAAAAGAUGAGCCUGCGUCCCAUUAGCUAGUUGGUGAGGUAACGGCUCACCAAGGCGACGAUGGGUAGCUGGUCUGAGAGGACGACCAGCCACACUGGAACUGACACACGGUCCAGACUCCUACGGGAGGCAGCAGUGGGGAAUAUUGCGCAAUGGAGGAAACUCUGACGCAGCGACGCCGCGUGGGUGAUGAAGGCC